UUAUCUAAUUGUUGCCUAUCAACUCGACGGGAGGUCUUCAAUCAUGAGCAUGCUACUACUUUAGCUUUCUCUGAGCCACAAUGUUAUGUUCAGUCAUAGAUUGCUACUGUCCCUGAGAUUUCAAUGUAGUGUUUUUUUCCUGGGGUAUUUUUAUUUGGUUGCAAAGAGAUCAAAUGUAUUAUCGAUGGACAAGGUGCAUUUUCUUAGUUGCCAAGGUGUGACCGUGCUGAUGCAUUAUGUCCUCAAUAAGUGAGCAAUUAUCUGACAUCUCUCUCAGCAUGGCAUUUGAGUUUGUAUCCAGGAGCCAGGAACACAUGGAUAUCAUAUUGUAGGCUAUACACGGGGUGUGUGUCCGGGUGUCCUUCAGUGAUCCUUAUCUAGUGGUCAUCUGAUCUUAGAUGUGUCUGAGGCUGAACCCCUGCACCAUUCCGUUUCAGAACCACUUGAUAAAGGGUCGAUGUAGAUUGAUGUAGGUUGGCGUAGAAUUACUAGUAAUUCUAUUUUUAGAAAAUGUAUUUCUUGGGUUGGCCUAAUGUUAUGUUCAUGGUGGUCCUUAAAAUCAUGAAUAAAUACAAUGACAUGUUUUGUUGUUUAGAACAGGUUAAGGUCAACUUGUGUAUUGUCCCAUUUAUAUGGAUUCAUAUGGUUUAUCGUUGUAAUAACAAUACCAACUCACGCCCCUUGCCUUGGAGGAGGAGGGACUUUUCAACUUCCAUGCACUGAAUAAUUGCAACAUGUCCCAUGGUUGAAGGAGCAAGACGUGGAUGGAAAAGCGCCUUGCGCGGCACACGUGGAUGGAGAUAUAUGUGGCAACCUGUUGAUAACGGAUUUAGGACAACGGAUAACUUUGUAGGAGUACAAUGACAAAAGUGACAAUAGACACAUUAUUGAAAGAAGAUCUUGUUUUUGCCGACGGCGAAGACAGAGUAAUAUGCUACUGCAUUCCCAUGGAAUUCAAACUUUUAGGAUAGUGGUAACAAAUGUGCUAACUUUUAUCAAGUAACGCUUAGGUGGCCUACCGAUGUCACACGUUUCUGUAAAUGUGAAACAGUAUCAUAAAUAAUACAAAUGAUACUGCGCGGUGAAAGAAUAGUCCUACAAAGAAAAUCGUUUCGUUAUUAUGUACAGUAUGAACACAUAACAGGUGUUUUCGGAGUAGUCAAAGAGCAUACUUAUUUGAAUACAUAAAUAACUGUCAAACGUGCAAAUAACUGAUCGGUAGGUAACCAUUCACCAAGAAGAAGCCUAUUUGAAAUGGUCUACACUUGCUUUAUUUACUGGGAAGAGAUAACUUGUAAGAUAAUUCAAUUAAAGUCUCGGUUCACAAUGAAACUGCUGAACUUACUUUGCGUUGUUGUCGGGUUGUGGAGGACAUGCCUGACGAACGGAAACUGCCGGAACCUCUUCAUUGACAGCUGUCAUUGCUCCUCCGAGAGGUCCAAGAAGUUGGGCAGACAAACGUUCCGGGUGAAAGUGGUGUGUGAUGAUGUGGAAUUACUGGACACUCUACAACCCAGUUUCUUACCCAACAAAACAGUUUCCCUGAUUCUCAGUAACAACAAGAUCUCACUACUGAGAAACGCCUCCUUCUUUGGCCUGACAAUCCUGGAGAAACUGGACCUGAGGAAUAAUUUGAUUAGCACGGUGGAGCACGGGGCCUUCCGCGGACUGGUGGCUCUGAGGAGACUGGAUCUGUCCAACAAUCGGAUUGGCUGCCUCUCUCCUGAAAUGUUUGUAGACCUUGGCAAUCUCUCUAAAUUGAAUCUAUCUGGAAAUAUUUUCUCUUCCUUGCCGAUGGGACUAUUCACACACCUCCUGUCUCUCGAAGUCCUGCACUUCUCUACAGAGUCUCUGUUCUGUGACUGUCAGCUGGAGUGGCUGCUGCUGUGGGCCAGGGCAAACGGCGUGCUUCUGGGCAACGACACCCUGUGCGUUCAUCCCACACACCUCCGCGGCCUGGAGGUCCACAACCUGAGGGAGACACAGCUCAGAUGUGAUGAGCCUCUGGAGCUGCCCCUGUUUCAGCUAAUCCCGUCCCAGAGACAGGUGGUGUUCCGUGGGGACCGGCUGCCGCUGCAGUGCACUGUGUCCUACCUGGACCCUUCGGUCACGCUGCUCUGGCACCACAAUGGCGACGUCGUCCACAGCAACCAGGACAGGGGCGUCUACGUAGAGGAUACCCUGGUCCAUGACUGCUGCCUGCUCACCGGCGAGGUCGUCCUCUCCAACAUCAACCACAGCCUGUCUGGCAUCUGGGAGUGCCAGGUGACCAGUUCCCGUGGCAACAGGUCCAGACAGAUGGAGAUCCUUGUGUUGGAGACGUCAGCACCCUACUGCUCAGCAGACAGGAUCAACAGCAAUAAGGGGGACUUCAGGUGGCCAAAGACCCUGGCAGGGAUAUUGGCCUUCCUGCCCUGUGCUCCAUCCACAUUUGGCUAUGCCCCCCGCCCUUCUGGUGCCUCUUCACACCACCUCACUCAGAGGGAGAAGAAGGCCUGGCGACGCUGUGACCGGGCAGGCCGGUGGGCAGAGGAUGACUAUACCCAGUGCCCAUAUGCCAGCGAGGUGACUCGCAUACUGCAUGAGCUCACCCAGAUGACCAUCAACACCAGCAAUGCCCAGCCGUUAGCCCAGCAGCUGGUAGCCUUCACCAGCAAGGCGGGGGACUUCAGCGAUGUGAUGGAUGUCAUCUUUGUCACACACCUGGUUGAGAGGCUGACUCGCCUGGUGGACCAGCAUAGAGAACUAGGGGACUAUAUCUCUGACAUAGCCAGUAACAUGAUGCUGGUGGAGGAACACAUCCUGUGGAUGGCUCAGAACGAGGCCCGGGCAUGUACACGCAUUGUCCAGUGUGUGGAGCGCAUCGCCGACUUGGCUCUCACCAUAGACACGCAGGUCAUAUCAAAGGUGUCCCCAAACAUAGCCAUGGAGGCCUUUCUGAUCAGGCCGUCUAACUUCCAGGGUCUUUCGUGUAUGGCAGUACAGAGAGCCCCCCUGCCACCCUUCUCUGGUCAGAGGAACCAGGAUGCCAUCGGGGACACGCUGCUCAACUUCAAAUGUCACACGGUCAACGGCAACGGCUCCCCCUCCAGCCAACUCAGCAAGGAAACUCUGAGAUGGUAGUGGUUCCGCUGAACAAUGGCAUUGCUGUGUGUGGACAACCCCAAUAGCUCCUCCAGCAGAUGCUGCCCCCUCCUGUCUUCCAGAUGCUGCUGACCAAGCUGCCCACCAUCAAACAGGUGGUUCCUGGCUGAUGAUCUGUCUCCAUAACUGAGAGAAACCGGGGAGGAAUAUCACUGUCUCCAAUACUACAGUCGUGGCCAAAAGUUUUGAGAAUGACACAAAACGUUUGCUGCUUCAAUGUCUUUAGAUAUUUUUGUCAGAUGUUACUAUGGAAUACUGAAGUAUAAUUACAAGCAUUUCAAAAGUGUCAAAGGCUUUUAUUGACAAUUACAUGAAGUUGAUGCAAAGAGUCAAUAUUUGCAGUGUUGACCCUUCUUUUCAAGACCUCUGCAAUCCGCCCUGGUAUGCUGUCAAUUAACUUCUGGGCCACAUCCUGACUGAUGGCAGCCCAUUCUUGCAUAGUCAAUGCUUGGAGUUUGUCAGAAUUUGUGGGUUUUUGUUUGUCCACCCGCCUCUUGAGGAUUCACCACAAGUUCUCAAUGGGAUUAAGGUCUGAGGAGUUUCCUGGCCGUGUACCCAAAAUAUCGAUGUUUUGUUCCCCGAGCCACUUUGUUAUCACUUUUGCCUUAUGGCAAGGUGCUCCAUCAUGCUUGAAAAGGCAUUGUUCAUCACCAAACUGUUCCUGGAUGGUUGGGAGAAGUUGCUCUCGGAGGAUGGGUUGGUACCAUUCUUUAUUCAUGGCUGGGUUCUUAAGCAAAAUUGUGAGGGAAACCACUCCCUUGGCUGAGAAGCAACCCCACACAUGAAUGGUCUCAGGAUGCUUUACUGUUGGCAUGACACAGGACUGAUGGUAGUGCUCACCUUGUCUUCUCCAGACAAGCUUUUUUCCAGAUGCCCCAAACAAUCGGAAAGGUGAUUCAUCAGAGAAAAUUACUUUACCCCAGUCCUCAGCAGUCCAAUCCCUAUACCUUUUGCAGAAUAUCAGUCUGUCCCUGAUGUUUUCCUGGAGUGCCUUCUUUGCUGCCCUUCUUGACACCAGGCCAUCCUCCAAAAGUCUUCACCUCACUGUGCGUGCAGAUGAACUCACACCUGCCUGCUGCCAUUUUUGAGCAAGCUCUGUACUGGUGGUGCCCCGAUCCCGCAGCUGAAUCAACUAUAGGAGACGGUCUUGGCGUUUGCUGGACUUUCUUGGGCGCCCUGAAGCCUUCUUCACAACAAUUGAACCGCUCUCCUUGAAGUUCUUGAUGUUCCAAUAAAUGGUUGAUUUAGGUGCAAUCUUACUGGCAGCAAUAUCCUUGCCUGUGAAGCCCUUUUUGUGCAAAGCAAUGAUGACGGCACGUGUUUCCUUGCAGGUGACCAAUGUUGACAGAUGAACAACAAUGAUUCCAAGCACCACCCUCCUUUUGCAAUUCAUCUGAUCACUCUUCAUAACAUUCUGGAGUAUAUGCAAAUUGCCAUCAUACAAACUGAAGCAGCAGACUUUGUGAAAAUGUAUAUUUGUGUCAUUCUCAAAAAUGUUGGCCAUAACUGUACUACUAAUGUUUGUAACAGUACUGAUGAGGAAGAAGAGGAUGGAUUUAUAUAUAUACAUACAUACAUACAUACACAUAGCUAUAUAGACAUACAUACUUUUUUAAAGAAUAUACUUUUAUUAUUAUUCCCUGCAAACCCUUCCGCCGAUCCCCCAAUUGGAGUAAACUAAUAACCACUUCUGCUUCUACCUUCAAUCCAUACAUCUUAUGCACACUCUACAGACACAGUCUACUUUACAAUAGUUCUCUCUUGUUUGUUCUUAGUCCUUCCUCUAUUUCUGAUCCAGUUUGAUUUCUAUUUGUAACUAUGCUAUUUCACGAAAGAUCCGAACCUAUAUACAUUCUACAGAUCCCGUAUUCCCUACAUUGUUUAUAUUGUUAUUAGUCCCACCCUUCAGCUCCACUCAACCCCUCCCAUCUGUCUUAUCAACAUCAUCCAUUUCGGAUUUCGGAUUUCUACUUGCCAUAUAUUUUUCAACUGUGCUGUGAUGCUUCACAAAAUAACUGAACCUUCCUAUUCUCAUAGCUUCUACAGAUUGUAAAUUAAAAAUAAACAUUUUUGCUAAAAUAAUUAUUAUAUUAUUGAUUGAUUGACCAUGGCUUUUCAAAUCACCCAGUAUUGCUAUCUGUAGUGUUAGUUCUAGGCAAAUGUUGCAAUUCUUCAGCCAUUCCUGGACCUGUGACCAAAAAUGAGCUACAUAUGGACAAUACCAAAAUAAAUGAUCUAAUGACUCUGCCUCCUCACUGCAGAAUCUGCAGAGCUGGG